rnacentral:tRNA from 1 species
UGCUUUAUUGCAUGUAAAAAUGAAAAAAUACCGUUAAAUUUGUAUGAUUAUGGAAAAUUAUUCAAUAUU